ensembl:snoRNA small nucleolar RNA SNORA54
AAGCACUAUUCGUGACCUGUUGGCCGUGCUGUGGCUAACGGGUUCCAUUCCAGUGCUACAGCAGCCCCACUGCCACUACACUGACCGCCUGAUGGUGGCUCUCAGUUUCAGGUCUUGGAGACAAGC